rnacentral:rRNA from 1 species
GGGACACGUGGUAUCCUGUCUGAAUAUGGGGGGACCAUCCUCCAAGGCUAAAUACUCCUGACUGACCGAUAGUGAACCAGUACCGUGAGGGAAAGGCGAAAAGAACCCCGGCGAGGGGAGUGAAAAAGAACCUGAAACCGUGUACGUACAAGCAGUGGGAGCACCUUCGGGUGUGACUGCGUACCUUUUGUAUAAUGGGUCAGCGACUUAUAUUCUGUAGCAAGGUUAACCGUAUAGGGGAGCCGCAGGGAAACCGAGUCUUAACUGGGCGUUAAGUUGCAGGGUAUAGACCCGAAACCCGGUGAUCUAGCCAUGGGCAGGUUGAAGGUUGGGUAACACUAACUGGAGGACCGAACCGACUAAUGUUGAAAAAUUAGCGGAUGACUUGUGGCUGGGGGUGAAAGGCCAAUCAAACCGGGAGAUAGCUGGUUCUCCCCGAAAGCUAUUUAGGUAGCGCCUCGUGAACUCAUCUUCGGGGGUAGAGCACUGUUUCGGCUAGGGGGUCAUCCCGACUUACCAACCCGAUGCAAACUACGAAUACCGAAGAAUGUUAUCACGGGAGACACACGGCGGGUGC